AACGAACGCUGGCGGCAGGCCUCAAACAUGCAAGUCUAGGGGGGUGCAGCAAUGCAUCACCGGCGGACGGGUGCGUAACGCGUGGGAAUAUACCUUUUGGUUCGGAACAACUGCGGGAAACUGCAGCUAAUACCGAAUGUGCCCUAACGGGGAAAGAUUUAUCGCCAAAGGAUUAGCCCGCGUAGGAUUAGCUAGUUGGUGAGGUAAUGGCUCACCAAGGCUCCGAUCCUUAGCUGCUGAGAGGAAGAUCAGCCACACUGGGACUGAGACACGGCCCAGACUCCUACGGGAGGCAGCAGUUGGGAAUCUUGGACAAUGGGGGAAACCCUGAUCCAGCCAUGCCGCGUGAGUGAUGAAGGCCUU
rnacentral:rRNA from 1 species